UACAGCCAUAUCACAUUAAAACACUUGUUCCUAUAUGAUCACAAAAGUUAAGCAAGAUUGAGCCUGGUCAGUACCUAAAUCAGUGACCUUUUGGAAAUAUCUGGUGUUGUAAG